UGGGGAAUCUUGGACAAUGGGGGCAACCCUGAUCCAGCCAUGCCGCGUGAGUGAUGAAGGCCUUAGGGUCGUAAAGCUCUUUCGCCUGUGAAGAUAAUGACGGUAGCAGGUAAAGAAACCCCGGCUAACUCCGUGCCAGCAGCCGCGGUAAUACGGAGGGGGUUAGCGUUGUUCGGAAUUACUGGGCGUAAAGAGUUCGUAGGCGGACUAGCAAGUUAGAGGUGAAAUCCCAGGGCUCAACCUUGGAACUGCCUUUAAAACUGCUAGUCUAGAGACCGGAAGAGGUUAGGGGAAUACCUAGUGUAGAGGUGAAAUUCGUAGAUAUUAGGUGGAACACCAGUGGCGAAGGCGCCUAACUGGUCCGGUACUGACGCUGAGGAACG
rnacentral:rRNA from 1 species